CCUACGGGUGGCAGCAGUCGAGAAUCAUUCUCAAUGGGGGAAACCCUGAAGGUGCGACGCCGCGUGGGGGAAUGCAGCCCUUCGGAUUGUAAACUUCUGUUAUGUGGGAGUAAAUCAAAAAGCGAGUACCACAUGAGGAAUAGACGGCUAACUCGGUGCCAGUAGCCGCGGUAAUACAGCGGUCUCAAGCGUUGUUCGGAUUCACUGGGCGUAAGGGGUGCGUAGGCUGUUGAGUAAGUCGGGUGUGAAAGGCGCGGGCUCAACCCGCGGACGGCACAUGAUACUGGGAGACUAGAGUAAUGGAGGGGGAAGCGGAAUUCGCGGUGUAGCAGUGAAAUGCGUAGAUAUCGAGAAGAACACUCGUGGCGAAGGCAGGUUCCUGGACAUUAACUGACGCUGAGGCACGAAGGCCAGGGGAGCGAAAGGGAUUAGAUACCCCUGUAGUC
rnacentral:rRNA from 1 species